rnacentral:rRNA from 1 species
GUUUGACCUCAAAUCAGGUAGGAUGUACCCGCUGAACUUAGCAUAU